rnacentral:lncRNA from 1 species
UAAAUGAGAUCUCUUAGUCACUACAGUCCUUUCACUCUGAAAAGAUCUGUCUGGACUGACUUAUCUCUGGGACCUCCUGCCAUUUUUUCUCUCCAACCAAGCUACUGCUGCAGAGAUCAACUUUGUGUGGGUUCAGAACAAUUUUACACAGGGACACGCGAACAACUGUAUUCAUGUUUGAAACAAACCAUGAAGUUUCAAGCCUUCACUGAGUGCUUUUUGCCUCACACUCCAUGGCUUCCCUUUUGUAAUUGAAGCACGACAUGUCACAGGAAAUGAUUGUUGCCUCUGAAGUGCAACCAAGAAUGUGGGGAAGGUUAGGCCCAUCCUUAGAGGACAAGAGUACAAAUGGAUGCGUCAUUCCACACAUCUAAAGGUACUAAAUACUAAGAACUGAAAAUUAACCUAACAAGCUCUUAAAUAUGUUCCAUCAUCCUACCUUAAUAACAAUGUGAAGGACAAUUUGAAAUAAAAAUGUUCAGACUCUUUGUUGUUUUGUACAUGUAUCAGUUACCUAUUGCUUUGUAACAAAUUAGUUCAAAAUUUGGAAAUGUGUCAAAGAAUUUCUAGAUUUCUGAAUUUUAAGCCACCACAGCAUAAAAACAUAUUACACUGUCCAGGGCUUAUGAGCCCACUUGCAUUCCCUCUCUACCAUUGAUUAGCUCAGCAGCUUUGCACUGUGAGUGG